GUGCUCACUUCAGCAGCAAAUAUACUAAAAUUGAAUGAUACAGGUAAGAUUAGCACGACCCCUGCACAAGGAUGACAUACAAAUCUGUGAUGUGUUCCAUAUUUUU